UUUGCUGUCGGGUUUGCAAUGGGUGGCGUCGAUGAUGCAUUAAGAGGGCUUUGAUGUUCAUGCACUUUCCUUUGGUCGAUUGCAGCUCUCUACCUGGCCUCUUAUGAAAGUGAAGGACCUGAGAACCACAUAGAGAAAGACAGGUGGAAGUCGUUAAGAUCCAGCCUGCUAGGCAGAGUUUAACAUGCAGGGAUCCGUUUGCUAAUUGCCGCCGCUGCACCGUGUGCACAUCGUCCGGGAGCUGGCAUUUGCCUCCUCCUGGCUUGUGGGACCAGGAAAAAAAACCACGGAGACCCCGGCAGUCACCGGAGCAACCUUCCCACCCACCCCCCAACCCCGGUCAGCUUCGCAAGCAGAAGAUGGGAACUCACGUCCUAUCGGCUGGGGACCGAUGGGACUCAGAUUUGAAAUCCGGGAGACCACGGGAGAAAGAAUCUUCCGGAGGAUUCCCGGCUCUGCUCGUGAUUCAUCUCCUGGAAUUUCCCCGUGACUCACGGCUCUGCACCUGGAUGGGGUUUUCUUUUGUGUGUGUCUGCGCGUGUGUUUUUAUCGUUGGGACAUUUGCUGCUAAUGGGACUUGCCCGGCUCUGAGCACUGGCUCUUUGGAAGCCCGUGCGUUUCUUUGUUUAAAUUAAACGAAAAAGGAGGGAGAGGGGGGAGGAGGAGGGAUCUGAAAGACACCCCACCCCUCCACCCCAAUUUUGGAUCCCCAAAAGCACAGCUCCAUCGGCGUGGCCAGAGAGAGGGUGAGAAGACUGGUUGGUCAGACGCUGGCGGUGGACUCAGUUUCCCUUCCGUGUGUGUGGUAUUUCCUAAACUCCUGUCCCCGCAAGACCUUGAGUUGGCUGCUGGCUAGCCAACUCCUUUUUACCCACGAUAAGUUAUUUAAUAUAAUAAUGAAGCUCAAACACUGUGGUAGGAAAAUAGCCACUAGGAAUUAAAAAAAAAAAAAAAAAAAAAAAAGCAGAGUCUGUUUGGGACUGCUGAACGUUCUAGAAGGACUUUUUUUUUUUUUUUUUUUGCCUUUCUAAGCUGUUUACAACUGACCACUGUGUGUCUGUUCCACAGAUGUAUUUUUGAGUAGUUUUUUUGUUUGUUUGUUUGUUUGUUAUUUCGUUGUUUUCCAUGAAGCCUCUUUUUUGUUUUUCUUUUUCCCUCUUGUAAAUUUUAAACGAUCUGGCUUUUCAGGGUCUUGGGGGAAAACCCCACGGCAUAAAAAUUACAGUUUAGUUUUUUGUUUCUUUUUUUUUUAACUAACUGUUAAUUUUUUCAUGACUUUUUCGGAGUCUGUUGGUGACUGCACAUGUCCACGCAGGAUCAAUUGGGAAUGUGGCCACCCGCAAAGAUAGCAGCGAACGAAACAAAGGAAAAACACGUUGCUGUGAACGGUGGAUCUAAUUGUCAAAUAGUCCGGCUCGUCAAACAUCUCAACCAGCCCGUAGUAGUUGCUCGGCCAACAGCGAUUAUAUUCACUUAACUCUAGGAGAAAACUGUAGAGUAGAAAUCCAUACCAAUAGGAAAAAAAAAAAAAAAGAA